AAGGCAAGCGGAUCUCUUAAAGCNGUUCUCAGUUCGGACUGCAGUCUGCAACUCGACUGCACGAAGCUAGAAUCGCUAGUAAUCGCGGAUCAGCACGCCGCGGUGAAUACGUUCCCGGGCCUUGUACACACCGCCCGUCACACCAUGGAAGUCUGCAAUGCCCGAAGCCGGUGGCCUAACCACUUAUGUGGAAGGAGCCGUCUAAGGCAGGGCAGAUGACUGGGGUGAAGUCGUAACAAGGUACC
rnacentral:rRNA from 1 species